rnacentral:lncRNA from 1 species
UUUUUCUUCUGGUUCCUUGGACUUAUUCUACUCUCUAUAGAUUUGCUUGAAAGCACUAAAAAAAUAUUCAUGCUCUUACUGUAAAGCCAUCAAGAGUGAAGAGAUAUGCAGAUUGUAUCUAAACAUCUGGACAAGAGACAUAAAAUCCAAUAAGUGUGCAGCCAGGAUCUCUAUUACAUCAUAAUCUCAUAGUCACCAUGCUCUGCAGAGCAGGCUGUUAUCUACAAGUGGGGCUGUAAUGUUGUCAAUCACCUCCCAUGCUUUAAGAAGCACUGGAGCUUCCUCCUUUCCCUGAAAUACUGAAACCAGGUGUAUAAGGAGAAAUCAAACAGAUCUGUGUUGUGUUAGUAAUGAGGAAAUUAUUAUGAUAUGGACACUAUACCAGGGUUGAGGGUGAAGAAGUUUCAUCAGUGAGAAUGGUUUACUUAUGCAGGGUGCUCAAAGGACAGCACAGAACAAGUUUUCAGACAAGAAUCGUGCCUCAGGUGAAGCUAUUUGCAAAUUCAAAUUCCUUCCCUGGUAACAGAGUAGCAGCCAUAGUGCAGAA